rnacentral:rRNA from 1 species
UACGAAGGGGGCUAGCGUUGUUCGGAAUUACUGGGCGUAAAGCGUGCGCAGGCGGUAAUGUAAGACAGAUGUGAAAUCCCCGGGCUUAACCUGGGACCUGCAUUUGUGACUGCAUUGCUGGAGUGCGGCAGAGGGGAUGGAAUUCCGCGUGUAGCAGUGAAAUGCGUAGAUAUGCGGAGGAACACCGAUGGCGAAGGCAAUCCCCUGGGCCUGCACUGACGCUCGAUGCACGAAAGCGUGGGGAGCAAACAGG